UGGGGAAUUUUGGACAAUGGGCGAAAGCCUGAUCCAGCAAUGCCGCGUGUGUGAAGAAGGCCUUCGGGUUGUAAAGCACUUUUGUCCGGAAAGAAAUGGCUCUGGUUAAUACCUUGGGUCGAUGACGGUACCGGAAGAAUAAGGACCGGCUAACUACGUGCCAGCAGCCGCGGUAAUACGUAGGGUCCAAGCGUUAAUCGGAAUUACUGGGCGUAAAGCGUGCGCAGGCGGUUGUGCAAGACCGAUGUGAAAUCCCCGAGCUUAACUUGGGAAUUGCAUUGGUGACUGCACGGCUAGAGUGUGUCAGAGGGUGGUAGAAUUCCACGUGUAGCAGUGAAAUGCGUAGAGAUGUGGAGGAAUACCGAUGGCGAAGGCAGCCCCCUGGGAUAACACUGACGCUCAUGCACGAAAGCGUGGGGAGCAAACAGG
rnacentral:rRNA from 1 species